rnacentral:tRNA from 1 species
CAUGUGGAAGUAUUUACAGGAGAUGCACUAUCGGUUGGCGGUAGGUUAAGUUGGUUCGAAUCCAACCCCAUGACCA